UAAUGUCCGGGUGAGCAUACCAUGUCGGGAAGACGGCAAACUAAAAUGCAACCAUUUAUAUUUAGAGAACGGCAUAUUUUGGACAAAAUGACGAUACAACAGUUGCUAUCCGUAACUUAGUAAGUUAACAGUUAUGAUAUCCUGCAAGUGACUGAAUCUUAGCUUGUUUAAAGCUAUUUGAAAGUUGCCUUACAUGUUAGUUUGUUGAAGUAGCCUACAGAGAUACACCAGGAUACACCUUGCUACCUAGUGACAAUGAGUCUUCUAACUCGCACUACCGAGGGGUUCAGCUCCACUGAGUACUGGGAACGCUUCUUCAAGAAGAGAGGAGAGACGGCUUUUGACUGGUAUGGAGACAACAACAAACUCUGUGGCAUGCUGCUCAAAUACAUCAAACCUCGGGAUAAGAUCUUGGUGGUGGGCUGUGGUAACUCUGAGCUGUGUGAGCAUCUGUAUGAUGUCGGCUACAGACAUCUGACCAACAUUGACAUCAGUGAGACGGUGGUGAAUCACCUGACCUUCCAGAAGGUGGAUGCCACACAGACCCCCAAUGAGGACGGAAGCUACCAAGCUACACUGGACAAGGGGACACUGGACGCCAUGGCCUCCCAGGAGGAGAGGGUUCUGGCUUGGAGGAUACUGGCUGAGGUGGGCUGGGGGUGUGAGGAUGUUGAGUUGUUAGACAGGGAUUAUAACAUCAAAUCAAAUUUAUAUAUAUAUAUAGCCCUUCUUACAUCAGCUGAUAUCUCAAAGGGCUGUACAGAAACCCAGCCUAAAACCCCAAAAAGCAAGCAAUGCAGGUGUAGAAGCACAGCUUUAACAGGGCUUUAACCAAAGCCAGCAGCCCUGCACAUAGAGUUGAACACCAGGAGUGUUGUCUGUUAGUAAUAUGUGUCUGCCAUGUACAUGUCCCAAAGCUGAGGGAGUGAAAAGGAUCAAUGGUGUAGGGGCUAAUUUGACCCUCUAUAGCUACUUCCAUUGAACCAGCACGCAUGCAGAUAUGUUUAUGUUUGGAGUUUGCGCAAUUUAAUAUAAAAGAAUAGAUGCGUGCCUAACUACAUAAAAAGUGCAUUUGUUUGUUUGAUUUCGAGGUGUGAUACGUAACAAGUGAAAUCCCUCCCAAAUUAAAUGUUUAACGGCUACUGAGGUUUAUCUUAUUAAACAACAUGGGGAAUGUGUUAAUUUCAAUUUAAUGCUUUUUAAAUUAUUUUUAUGUGGAACAUAAUUGCCUCAUUCAUGGCUCAGCUGAGGGUCGUGGCCAACUAGCAACUAGCGCUAACUAAAGGUGACUGGUUGCAUGGGGACCAGGAGUAUACGGACAUGCAGUCUGUCCAAACAGAGCUCUCUCCCAUGGGGAUGGGAGAUGUGAUUAUUCCAUAUUUUAUCUUUAUUUAUUUCUCUAUUGUCUCCCCCUUAUUCCUUCAACCGUUUUCCCCCUUUCUCCAUCCCUGGCCCCGUCCCUCUCCCUGUAUGUGUUCCGUUCCUGUUGGUGGGAAGUGAGCUCGGUUGGAGGGAGGUAGUGAGUCGUGGUAACAGUGUUCUGAGUGGUCAGUACUCUGUAGAGGAUGUGAGAGGAGAGGUUGGUCAUCUCAACUGCAGACUAGUGUUCCUGUUUAAUGAAGGACUGGUCCAUUCAGAGAGCUGCCUCACUGACCCAACAACCACAGCAGCCUCCACUCAGAAAAAGAGCAGAAGGAAAGCCCUCUGCCCCUUCCCCUGUGCCCUCACAGUCACCAGGUGGCACCUUGGAGGUGGAUAAGGGCUUGGUCUGUUGUGCCCACCACAGGGUCAUGGUGGCUCCAGGGGUGGGCUCCAACCACAACUAGGGGUGGGCUCCAACCACAACAAAGACGUACUAGUGUCAGUGGUCCUGGUGGGGCUGGGUGGAGGAGGGCUGGAGCUGGACCCUGCAGUGCUGAACCUGAAGGUUGCAUGAGGAGAGGAGGAUGAGAAGAGGGGAAGACCUUGUGAACAAGUAUCAUGAUCUCAUGCUUUACUGUAUACAAAAUAAAAACAUGUACAGAUGUAGUUUAUUCUAACACUAUCAAUCAAGUAAAGAAUGUUUUAUUCUCAAACUUCUCUGGUGUUUAUUGAUGAUGAACCCUGCAGUGAUUUUCUCAGGAUUACAGUUGCUUUUGAAACUA